AUUGAACGCUGGCGGCAGGCCUAACACAUGCAAGUCGAGCGGAUGAAGGGAGCUUGCUCCUGGAUUCAGCGGCGGGCGGGUGAGUAAUGCCUAGGAAUCUGCCUGGUAGUGGGGGAUAACGUCCGGAAACGGGCGCUAAUACCGCAUACGUCCUGAGGGAGAAAGUGGGGGAUCUUCGGACCUCACGCUAUCAGAUGAGCCUAGGUCGGAUUAGCUAGUUGGUGGGGUAAAGGCCUACCAAGGCGACGAUCCGUAACUGGUCUGAGAGGAUGAUCAGUCACACUGGAACUGAGACACGGUCCAGACUCCUACGGGAGGCAGCAGUGGGGAAUAUUGGACAAUGGGCGAAAGCCUGAUCCAGCCAUGCCGCGUGUGCGAAGAAGGUCUUCGGAUUGUAAAGCACUUUAAGUUGGGAGGAAGGGCAGUAAGUUAAUACCUUGCUGUUUUGACGUUACCAACAGAAUAAGCACCGGCUAACUUCGUG
rnacentral:rRNA from 1 species